rnacentral:lncRNA from 1 species
GGAUUUAAGUAUGUGAUGACUUUAUAAGAGCUUUGCAAAGUCACGAUUGUUUUAGGUGAUUGUGGAAUUUGUGAAAUAAAAAGAGUAUUAUAUUUUGGAGAAUUUCAUGAGUUUGAUAAUAGAUUUGCAAUUCAAAUUUUGAGAACUUAUGAGUAUAGUUGUUUUAAAUGUAUGCUAUAAGUUUGAGCUUGAUCAAAUAAUUGAAUUGAACGUUAUUGAAUUUCAAAUAGGUUGAGUUCUUAGAAAUUGGACUUUGAAGGAUAGUUAGGAUUUCUAAGAUCUUUAGCAAUCUACUAAUUGGAUUUGAGUGAAAUUUAUGUAUGAAGAUAAUAGACUUCAUUUGCUACAUAUAUGUGAAAUUUGAAAAUAAUUGAAUAGUUUAAAAAGGAGAUAUUGGCAUUGGAAGUUUAAUAUUUAGAUUGAAGUAGGAGAUUGACUAAUAGCUAAGUGGGUUUUAGAAUUUUUCUUCCAUUUAGUAAGUAUAAUUAUCUUCAAAUUAGUUGUACUAUUUUUUAACUAAGAAAUUGAGAGGUGUGUAAAUUUUCAAGCAAGAUGAAUGGUUUAAUUGAUAGAUAUUUGGAUUCUAAUGUGCCUUAAGAUUUAAUUUAGGAUUUAGGAUUUAUUAGGAUUUGGUUUAAGAUUUAGGAUUUAUUUAGGAUUUAAUUUAGGAUUUAUUUAGGAUUUAAUUUAGGAUUUAGAGUCAUACUAGGAUUUGAUUUAGGAUUUAAGAUUUAGAAUUUAGGAUUUAUUUAGGAUUUAAUUUAGGAUUUUAAGUUUGCUUAGGAUUUAAGAUUUGGCCUAGGAUUUGAUUGAAGUUCAUUAGGAUUUUAAUUAGGAUUAAAUUAUGAAUUAAUUGAAAUUUAUUUGAGAUAUAUUUCUGAUUAUUUUAAUAUUUCUUUUGGAUUUCUUAAAAAUUCUUUUAAGAUUUAUUGUAGAUUUCUUUUUAACUUUUUAAAGAAUUUUUAUUAUUUCUUUUGUAAUUUCUU